CGUACAUGUUUGCUUGACUAAAAAUAAUUGUCCAAAUAAAUACAAUUGAUGACAGAUAUGGCCGCCUUGUAAGAAAAAAACGAUCACGUACAUGUUUGGUUGGCUAAUAAUGAUUGUCCAAGAUAAUACAAUUGAUGACAGAUAUUGCCGCCUUCUAAGAAACAAACGAUCACGUACAUGUUUGGUUGACUAAAAAUAAUUGUCCA